rnacentral:rRNA from 1 species
UACGUAGGGGGCAAGCGUUGUCCGGAAUUAUUGGGCGUAAAGAGCGUGUAGGCGGCCAGCUAAGUCCGCUGUGAAAUCUCGAGGCUCAACUUCGAGCUGUCGGUGGAAACUGUCUGGCUAGAGUCCGGAAGAGGAGAAUGGAAUUCCUGGUGUAGCGGUGAAAUGCGCAGAUAUCAGGAAGAACACCCGUGGCGAAGGCGGUUCUCUGGGACGGUACUGACGCUGAGACGCGAAAGCGUGGGGAGCGAACAGG